rnacentral:rRNA from 1 species
AGGAAAAUAUGUUUAGUUUAAAUUUAUUUGUGAUGAAAAGUUAGUGCUAAAUUGUAGGCAAAUUUUUUGUGUUUAUAAGUAUUGUGGAAAGAAAAUUUUAUUGUUUGGAGCUAGAGUUAAUGAGUACCGUGAGGGAAGUUGAGAUUUUGGGUUUUAUUUUUUCUUAGUAGGGGUUAAAUCCUGUACCUUUUGCAUCAUGGUUCUUUAAGAGGUUUUUUAGAUAAAGUUGGCCCGAAAGAAAACGAGCUAUUUUUUGGCUUGCGUCAUCGUUGUAAAGAUGUGCUGAGACUAAAAGAUAGGAGUGAUAUUCUUUUCGCGUUUUCUGAUAGCUGGUUGACUAGGAAAGGCAUUAGAGUGCUCCCUCAAGCGUAAGGUUUUUGUCAAGUAUAAGUAUAUUUUGUAGUUGGGCAUGAAGUGUUUUGCUCGGGGGUUGUGCAGGAAAGGAUUAGCUUUCCUGCAUUAUUAAAAAGUUAGGUUAGGGCAUUGUUAAUAAUUUAGUAGGCUUAGAGUUGGCCAUCUUUUAAGUUUGUUUUAAAAUAUUUAUUAUUUUUAGCUAAAAAUCUAUGUGUAUGGCUUUUAAAUUGGGUUAUGUACUGGUCUCACAAGUGAAAUUAGGUUUGCUUGUGAAAUAAUGAGGAAAUGAGUAUUUGUUUUAAUUUAGUUUACUUUUAUCGGUUAAGGUAAUUUGGUAAAGAAUUUAAGUUUUACGUUUGGGAUUAAAAAUCUUGGAAAGGAACUCGGCAAAGAUUGGCCUCGCCUGUUUAGCAAAAACAUCGCUCUUUGAUAUUAUUUUAGAUAAGGAGUCGGACCUGCCCGGUGACCUACGGGUUAAACGGCCGCGGUACACUGACCGUGCAAAGGUAGCACAAUCACUUGCCUUUUAAUUGGAGGCUGGUAUGAAUGGUUUGACGAGGGUUGAGCUGUCUCUCCUCGAAUAUUUAAAAAUUAACUUCUAAGUGAGAAGGCUUAGAUUAAGCUGAGGGACGAGAAGACCCUGUUGAGCUUUAGCGUGGGAUAAAGUAGUUAUUUCUAUUAUAAUAGAGGAUUUUGGGUUUAUUCUUACAUCUUUAGUUGGGGUGACUAGGGAACAUGAAAAGCUUCUCUGUUAAUUUGUGGGAUUUUGGUUUACUAACAAGUGAUCCAGCAUUGUUGAUUAUCGGAAAAAGUUACCAUAGGGAUAACAGCGUAAUCUUCCUGGAGAGUUCACAUUGAAAGGAGGGUUUGCGACCUCGAUGUUGGAUUAAGGUGUCCUGAGGGUGUAGCAGCUCUCAUUGGUUGGUCUGUUCGACCAUUAAAACCUUACAUGAUCUGAGUUCAGACCGGCGUAAGCCAGGUUGGUUUCUAUCUUCAGUUUAUAUUGUUUCUUUGGCUAGUACGAAAGGACCGCUUUAAGGCAAAUAUUUAGUUUGUGUUAGUUGAUUAUAUUUAAAUUUGAUAUAAAAUUUAUUGGUAGU